UUGGAAAAUGCUGAAGAAGCAGCACACCACUGACGCGCUGAGCCACUUCAUGGAUGGAGGGUGGAGGAUGGAGAGGAGCGCAGGCCAACAGCAACGCACUUCAUUUUCUGCGUAUUGCAAGCAAAAGCAGUUCCAAAAUCUCCCGAUGCACUUACUGCUACUUUUUCCACGCUACAGAAGUAACUACAGAUCUAUUAUACGAAGCUGGUGGACCCGAGGCAAAGGCGGAUAGUAAAUGGAGACCAAGAUGCGUUGAAAUUAGAAGUGGAAAUGUGCUAAAGAUGACAUGGAAGAUAGGAGGAUUACAUAGAGAAGGGAUAGAUAGGAAGGUAGGCAAUGUGUUGACAAACGGCUGGCAGUAGCUUGAGUCGUAAAGUGGACACAAGUGGAGAGUGGAGAUGUGCAAGGCGGUGUAAAAGACGCGCUCGACAUAAAAAGGCUAGCGCGGCGGUGGAUUGGUAUGUGGAGUGCAGCGUUGAUGUAGUGUAGUGAAGUGGAGUAGAGUGAAGUGGUAUGGCGUGUAUUGGAGUGGCUGGUAAAUGCAGUAGCGCAAAGAAUUUCUGCGAAAGAACGCGCAACAAACACUCGAGUGUCGGCUCGGCGAGGAAGAACCAUAGAACAUAGUUAGGCUAUAUAAGUAAAAAUGUAAAAACUUUAAACAGCAAAAACUAAAUAGAGUGUUGAAAAACAAACACAACAAUCGAAGCAAAACAACACUAAGUGACGCAGCGACUACUGGUCUUCAAAGAAGCGAGAAAUGGCACUGAAAAGCAAAGCGAAGACGAAGCCGUGUUGGGGCCAUAAUAAACGUACGUUAGGCGACAAGGGAGCCACGACUGUGAUUUGCGUGGGAAUUUCAUGAAUUUUCUGUAUUAACCAUUUACAAGACGUAACCGCAAGAUGAAAUGAGCGUAAAUGAUAUUGUAAAUUACAACAAAAAUAAAUAAAUGAGGUUGGGCAGUGCUGCAGAAUGAGAAUGAGAAAUAAAAAUAACAAAAAACGUCUCAGCCAGCUACCGUACGAGAAAAGCGUUGGAGAAACACAAACAACAGACAUACGAAGUAAUACAUACAUACAUA